GCCAGCAUGGAAUAGUGGUUUGAAGCUGGACUAUGACUGUGGAGACCAGGGUUCGAUUCUCUGUUCAGCCA